UACGGGGGGGCAAGCGUUGUUCGGAAUUACUGGGCGUAAAGGGCUCGUAGGCGGCCAACUAAGUCGGAUGUGAAAUCCCCAAGCUUAACUUGGGAACUGCAUCCGAUACUGGAUGGCUUGAAUCCGGGAGAGGGAUGCAGAAUUCCAGGUGUAGCGGUGAAAAUGCGUAGAUAUCUGGAGGAAUACCGGUGGCGAAGGCGGCAGUCC
rnacentral:rRNA from 1 species